AGGAAGGACGUUCCAUCCCUCGCUAGCAGUAGCAGAGUAGUAGUGAAGGACGUUCCACAUUCAAGCUAUUAUGCGGUGGAAUUGGUUCGCGUCAUAUCAUUUCUUUUUUAAAAGAAUAGAGGAAAGAAAGCAAAGAGAGGAAAGAGAGAGAUUGUUUUAUGAGAAUGGAAGCAAGUUAGUUGAGAAGCUGAUUGCCUCUUGCAAUGCCAAGCCUAUUCCCAUCCGUACCUUCUCCGCUCAACAGCUCCGCCAAGCAACCAACAACUUUUCUUCUGAAAAGCUGGUAAUGGGGUUCUCUAUUUGGUACAAGGGUUCUCUUGAAGGACGAUUUGUUGUCAUUAAGGGUUCUUUUGUUCGCAAUGCCAAGCCUAUUCCCAUCCGUACCUUCUCCCCUCAACAACUCCGCCAAGCAACCAACAAUUAUCCUUCUCAACAUCUGGGAAUUUAUUGGUACAAAGGUUCUCUUGAAGGACGAAUUGUUCUCAUUAAGCGUUUAGAUAAUUUGGCCUACAUAGCCAUCAAUGAUUUAGUGAUUUCUGCACAAAUGAGUGGUCACAGCAAUGUAUUAAAGCCCAUAGGUUGUUGUCUCCACACUCGAAUUCCCAUGUUGGUGUUUGAAUUUGCCGCCAAUGGUUUACUUGCAGAUCGAAUUUAUGUCUCCCGUGUUACUGAACUGCAACAUGAGCCGAUGGUGUGGGAGAAAAGGUUAAAGAUUGCAAGGCAGAUUGCUCAUACUCUUUCUUAUUUCCAUACUGCCUUCCCUAGACCUGUCAUCCACAUGGGUAUCUUCAUGCACAGUAUCUUCUUAGAUGAACAUGAUGUUCCCAAAUUGUCCCACUUUCAUUUUUCUGUAUCAAUUCCCGAAGGUGAAGCUGACGUGGACGCUCCUUUUCGUUCAAUAUUCUGCGCCCCGGAGUUUGAAGCAACAGGCAAGGCAACUGAGAAAGCUGAUGUAUAUGCUUUUGGUCGGAUUCUUCUUGAACUUUUAACUGGAGAGGAUUCUCUUAAUAUAACCCGAUUUACAAUUGAUAAAGAUUCUACUUUAGUAGCAUACCUACAUAACCGUGCACAAGGUAGUUGCAUAAACGAGAUUAUGGACCCUGCAAUCUUGGCUGAAGAUGGGGAUGGAGGUGCUAGUUUACAGCAUCAAUUACAAGCUGUGGUGGACCUUGGCUUGACAUGUACAGAGGAAGAUCCACAAAGAAGGCCAACUAUGGUAGAUGUCACCAAACAACUCAGGCGGAUUGAGAGGUUCACACAAACGGGUGAAGAGCUUGGGGGAAAUUUGCAGAAUUUAAAGCUUCUUGAGAGUGUUGAAGAGCAUGCUUCUGCAUCAUUGAAAAGGAAUGCUUCUAGUGAUGAAAUCCAAGCAGUGAACAAAGCCUCUGAAAGGCCUCUUGAAGUUUGAUUGUGAUGCAACUGAAUGAUGACAGAGCUUGUAUGGCAGUUUUAACCUGUAAUUGGGAAGUUAUCAUUAUGGCAAACCCUUAAGAAUAUUUCCUGAUUCACGACGUCUCAAAGGUUGUCAUUCAAGAACUGAGUUGAUUUCAAAAGGCUUCAAGCAAGAUUAGUAUACAUUGUACAAUGUAUAUAUCCUUCUGACACUGAUGGAUUCGUGAUUCCAAGCCUGGAAAUAGGAGACUUAGAUCGGAGUAAAACUGAUGUUUCAGAAGUAGAAGCCUCAAAACCUCCUUGUCCAAAGCCAAAAAAGAAGAGAAUAUCUACCUAUGUCCACACGGAGCACCUCCUUCACAGUCAAAGCAGCAAGACCCAAAUUCUGCUGGUCGUAAGCAGCGGUUCAAGCAAAAAUUGAAGGAAGCAGAUGAGAGGACCAGUGGGACAGGUCGGGAGAAUAAGUUAGAGAGUCUCAGAGAACUUGUGGGUGGUGGCAAAGCCACCGGCAACAUGACAAAGGGCUCUACCAGGGAUUGGCUAGACCCACAUUGUCAUGAGUCUCAGUUUGAGAAGUGGAAUCCCCAGUGAGUGGAAUAUUUGAGAGCUUUUUAAACUUGGCACACUGGGUUAUCUUUGGAGACUGAAUUUAUAAAAGGUUAUGUAUUUUGCAAUAAAUUUUCAACCAGGCCUUUGAGAUUUGCUUUUGCUGCGAAAGAUUCUUUCAGUAGCAUUUCCGAUGUUUGGGUUGUAUUUGCUGCAGUUGGUGUUUGGCCCUUCUCUUAUUUUGUGCUCCUUCCACUUUGA